rnacentral:lncRNA from 1 species
GGCAUAAAAACAGUGUUUAAUUUCUCUAGAAAAAAUAGGGACCAAAUCAUGGUCAUGUAACACACGGCCUUUAGCCUUUGUGACAAGAGCACUUGGGUAAAGGGCAUCGCACUACUUUUUGACGUUUUUUUUUUCAAAAGCUCUUGAACUAUAAGUGUAGUUAGUUUCCUAACUAGUAAAUCUUUCCCCAAGGCAACUCCGUUGUAGUUUCCUACUACAACUAGACUUAACGUAGUUAGGGGCAUAGCCCUUUCCUUGUCAUAACGUCCCCUAAAGGGGAAGAAGGGGAUGACCGAAGGGGAUGACCGAAGGGGAUGACCGAAGGGGAUGACCGAAGGGGAUGACCGAAGGGGAUGACCGAAGGGGAUGACCGAAGGGG